GACGUGUCCCCAAAUAACACUCCGCAAUUUGGUGACGUGGCCACUAACGGCCACUUUAACUUUUCUCGUUGGAGUUGAAGAAAAUCCAGUUCCUAGAGAAUACCACUUGCCUUUUCGCCAUCCACAGCGGUCGCUCGGAACAACGUUGUCAGCAGAUUCAGCACGCCUUUCUAUCCCACUCCCUCACAUCAGCGAUUCUAAAAUCAUCGCUCCCUUUUCUUUUUACGUAAUGAUCAAUCCUACGCUCGUUAUUAAUUUUAAUCUUAAGGCAUCAUUCUCACCGGCUGUUCCGGUGUCCCUUUCUCUUCUUUACAUAUAACACCGCAUUUUCUCACUCUUCAACCACUAAUCUCCACCAUCACUCUUAUCUUACUAUUCUUUUCUGCAACUUAACUUCCACUUUUCUAUCUCUUCAGUUAUGGGGAAGGUUAAGAUCGGGAUCAACGGAUUUGGUAGGAUUGGAAGGCUGGUUGCCAGAGUGGCUCUGCAGAGGGACGAUGUUGAGCUCGUCGCUGUUAACGAUCCCUUCAUUUCCGUUGAUUACAUGACCUACAUGUUCAAGUAUGACACAGUUCACGGUCAAUGGAAGCAUCAUGAGUUGAAGGUUAAGGAUGAUAAGACUCUUCUCUUUGGCGAGAAGCCUGUCGCCGUCUUUGGCAUUAGGAACCCAGAGGAAAUCCCAUGGGCUGAGACUGGAGCAGAGUAUAUUGUGGAAUCAACUGGAGUGUUCACUGACAAGGAUAAGGCUGCAGCUCAUUUGAAGGGUGGUGCUAAAAAAGUCAUCAUCUCUGCCCCCAGCAAGGAUGCCCCAAUGUUUGUUGUUGGUGUUAAUGAGAAGGAAUACAAGCCAGAUCUUCACAUUGUAUCGAAUGCUAGUUGCACUACCAACUGUCUUGCUCCUCUUGCUAAGGUUAUUCAUGACCGAUUUGGCAUUGUAGAGGGUCUUAUGACAACUGUCCAUUCCAUUACUGCUACCCAAAAGACAGUUGAUGGGCCAUCGAUGAAGGACUGGAGAGGCGGAAGAGCUGCUUCCUUCAACAUCAUUCCUAGCAGCACUGGAGCUGCCAAGGCUGUUGGAAAGGUUCUCCCAGCACUUAAUGGAAAAUUGACUGGAAUGGCCUUCCGUGUUCCAACGGUGGAUGUUUCUGUUGUAGAUCUCACUGUAAGACUUGAAAAGAAUGCAACAUACGAGGAAAUAAAAAAUGCCAUCAAGGAGGAAUCUGAGGGUAAGCUCAAGGGAAUUUUGGGUUACACCGAAGAUGAUGUGGUGUCCACCGACUUUGUUGGUGAUAGCAGGUCAAGUAUUUUUGAUGCCAAGGCUGGAAUUGCUUUGAACGAAAAGUUUGUGAAACUUGUCACUUGGUAUGACAAUGAAUGGGGCUACAGUACCCGUGUGCUUGACUUGAUCCGUCACAUUGCCUCCACUCAGCCUUGAAGAAAUUAAUGAUGAUUUUUGAUUGCUGUAUUGAGUUUGAAUGUUGAUGCAGCCUUGAAGAAAUUGAUGCUCGCUUCUGAUGUUUAAAUAAAAAUUUGAGUUCAGAUCUUCUGUGUUUGGUUUUGGGUUUUAGUUAUCAAGCUAUUGAGUUGUAAAACCAUAUGACUUUCAUGGGAAGAUUUCCAUCUUGUUUAACACAACUAUCAUGCAAUGCAAAUGCAUAAAUUUUCUUUUGAUUGCUAAUGUUAUAGUCCAUCUUUCAAUGGAUGCUUUUGUUAUUUAUAUGAAGAUCAGAGGUUAGUUGUAAAUUUGAGGGCGAAUUCCUUGUAUCGACAGUAUCCGUCCUCCUUGCAAGGCACAUGAAAAUUUUGAAUAAUCCCUUCCUCCUUGCAAGGCACAUGAAAAUUUUGAAUAAUCCCUUCGUAAAUGUUAACCCAUUGCUGCAAGAC
rnacentral:misc_RNA from 1 species